UACGUAGGGUGCGAGCGUUGUCCGGAAUUAUUGGGCGUAAAGGGCUCGUAGGCGGUUUGUCGCGUCGGGAGUGAAAACCCAGGGCUUAACCCUGGGCUGGCUUUCGAUACGGGCAGACUAGAGGUAUGCAGGGGAGAACGGAAUUCCUGGUGUAGCGGUGAAAUGCGCAGAUAUCAGGAGGAACACCUAUGGCGAAGGCAGCUUGCUGGGACGACACUGACGCUGAGACGCGAAAGCGUGGGGAGCAAACAGG
rnacentral:rRNA from 1 species